rnacentral:rRNA from 1 species
CAGCCGCCGCGGUAAUACAGAGGGUGCGAGCGUUAAUCGGAUUUACUGGGCGUAAAGCGUGCGUAGGCGGCUUCUUAAGUCGGAUGUGAAAUCCCUGAGCUUAACUUAGGAAUUGCAUUCGAUACUGGGAAGCUAGAGUAUGGGAGAGGAUGGUAGAAUUCCAGGUGUAGCGGUGAAAUGCGUAGAGAUCUGGAGGAAUACCGAUGGCGAAGGCAGCCAUCUGGCCUAAUACUGACGCUGAGGUACGAAAGCAUGGGGAGCAAACAAGAUUAGAUACCCCUGUAGUCCCUGUCUCUUAUAC